rfam:Heterocephalus glaber contig168512, whole genome shotgun sequence.
CAAAAGGCUCUUUUCAGAGCCCCUCCAUAGUCAGUAAAAAGGCUGU